UUUAUAUAGUUUUUAGUACGAAAGGACCAUUACUAUAAAAUAAUUUUUUUUAUUAGAUUAUUAUUAA
rnacentral:rRNA from 1 species